GUGCACCAGGCGCGAAACCUUCGCAAUGCGGAAGCCGCGACGAGGGGACUCCCAGUGCCUACGCUCAGCGUAGGCUGUUCCCGAGCCUAGAAAGCUCGGGGAGUAAGGGCUGGGUAAGACGGGUGCCAGCCGCCGCGGUAAUACCCGCAGCCCGAGUGGUGGCCACUAUUAUUGGGCCUAAAGCGUCCGUAGCCGGCCCGGUAAAUGCCUGGGUAAAUCGUGAGGCCUAACCUCACGAAUUCCGGGUAGACUGCCGGGCUAGGGACCGGAGGAGGGAGAGGGUACUCCAGGGGUAGGGGUGAAAUCCUGUAAUCCCUGGAGGACCACCAGUGGCGAAGGCGCUCUCCUAGGACGGGUCCGACGGUGAGGGACGAAAGCCAGGGGAGCGAACCGGAUUAGAUACCCGUGUAGU
rnacentral:rRNA from 1 species